rnacentral:tRNA from 1 species
GCAGAUAUCGUCUAACGGUUAAGAUAUUGGCUUCCCAAGCCGAGGAUGCGGGUUCGAUUCCCGUUAUCUGCUCCA